rnacentral:lncRNA from 1 species
AAGUUAGGGCAUGGCAUGUACGGAUAGGGCAUGACCGUACAGAUAAGAGAACGUAAAGGAGAAGGAGGAUGGAAGGCAAAGCCACCAUCAGACGCGGAAGGUUUGGAACGGAUCAGACCGUUUAUGGAUAAGGUUGGAGCGCGCCUUAUCUAUCCAGCUCUUGGACAGGCUGUAAAGCCAAAAGCGUGUGUUCCUUUCUGACCUUGACUACACAUGCUUAGACUAGUGCCAUUUCCCUUACUUGAAAGCCCUAAUGUCUCUCCUAUAUAUAUUGUAACCUCAUCCAUAAUAAAGAUUAGACAGUUCUGAUUAUCUUUGCCUCCAUGGCUUAUUCUUAGUCUCGAUCUCUUAUCUUACUCUCUACACUCAGUUCUUCUCUAAUCUCUCUUAAACACUCAGAUUACUCUUCAUUACUCUAAAAGUAACAUGGUAUCAGAGCCAGGUUCAUGAGAAUCUGAGUUCUUGUUGAGGUUUGUAUCAAGACAAAGGAUAAAAGCUAGGAGCUGGGCGUUGAAGAUUCAAGCUUCAAGUCUUCUCCGGUUGUGUCUUUGGUCUUGUUGGUGUGAUUACUACUCUCAGUCCAAGAUUUAGCAAGCUGUUUACGUCUAGCUGCUUCAAGAUGGAUAGUGGGAUGAAGAUGAAGGUCGCGGUGGUGUUCAAGGGGAACAACUACCUAGUGUGGUCACGGAUGGUGAAGACCGCAGUUGGAA